AUGGACCAAAGAGGGAUGGAGAUUCCUGUGACUCUCAUCAUUAAAGCACCGAAUCAGAAAUACAGUGACCAGACUAUUAGCUGCUUCUUGAACUGGACUGUGGGGAAACUAAAAACGCAUCUAUCUAACGUGUACCCUAGCAAACCAUUGACAAAGGACCAGAGGUUGGUGUAUUAUGGUAGACUGCUUCCUGACCAUCUGCAGCUGAAAGACAUCCUCAGAAAACAAGAUGAGUAUCAUAUGGUUCAUCUAGUCUGUGCUUCUCAGAGUACUCCCAGUUCUCCAAGAUCCAGCUCCGAUAGAGGAAGUCACGAAGCACUGGCAUCCAGCACCAAUUCUAAUUCAGAUCAUUCAGAUUCAACAACUCCAUCACCCAGACAAGAGAGUUUGUCAUUAGUUACUGGUUCUUCAGAAGGAUUGAGACAGCAUACCCUUUCACAAGCACAAACUGACCCAGCCCAGAGUCAUCAGUUUCCAUAUGUAAUCCAAGGAAAUGUUGAUCACCAGUUUCCUGGGCAAGGUGUGCCCCCUGGGUUCCCAGUGUACCCUGCGCUCAGCCCACUGCAGAUGCUGUGGUGGCAGCAGAUGUAAGCUCAUCAGUAUUAUAUGCAAUAUCAAGCUGCAGUUUCAGCUCAGGCCACAUCAAGUGCCGGCUCAGCCCAGCAUGCUGCAUCAUCACCUCUAAAUUUGGCACAUGUUCCUGGAGAAGAGCCUCCACCAGCUCCCAACCUAGUGGCCCAAGAAAAUGGGCCCAUGAAUGAGAAUGUUCAAAUGAAUGCACAGGGUGGCCCAGUGCUGAAUGAAGAAGACUUGAACCACGACUGGCUGGACUGGGUGUACACAUUCUCCAGAGCUGCCGUCCUCCUCAGCAUCGUAUACUUCUAUUCUUCUUUCAGUCGGUUUAUCAUGGUAAUGGGAGCCAUGCUGCUGGUUUAUUUACACCAAGCUGGAUGGUUUCCAUUCAGGCAAGAAGGCGGUCAGCAACAACAGCCUCCCAACAAUGUGGACGCUAACAAUGACGGGCAUAAUGCAAACAAUCUAGAACUUGAAGAAAUGGAGCACCUUAUGGAUGAUGGCCUUGAAGAUGAGAGUUGAGAAGAUGCAGGUGAAGAUGCCAGUGCAGCUCAAAGGCCUGGGUUAAUGGCUUCAGCUUGGUCUUUUAUCACCACCUUUUUUACUUCACUAAUACCAGAGGGGCCUCCCCAAGUUGCCAAUUAGACCUGAAAAACUGUGCCAGCUGCAAAGGAAGGUUUGACUUUAGGAAAGCGGUUUAAAUAACAGUGCAAUUUAAAAACAAUGUAUAACUUUUCUUUUGAUGAUCAUGUACAGAGGUCUU